rnacentral:rRNA from 1 species
CAACUUUCAACAAUGGAUCUCUUGGCUCUGGCAUCGAUGAAGAACGCAGCGAAAUGCGAUAAGUAGUGUGGAAUUGCCAGAAAUUCCAGUGAAUUCAUUCGAAUUCUUUGAAACGCCACCAUUGCGCCCCCUUGGGUAUUUCCUAUGGGGGCAUAGCCUGUUCGAAGCGUCAUCUUAC